rnacentral:rRNA from 1 species
GACGAACGCUGGCGGCGCGCUUAACACAUGCAAGUCGAACGGAAAGGCCUGCUUUCCCUUGUGGAUUGCGGGUACUCGAGUGGCGAACGGGUGAGUAACACGUGAGUGAUCUGCCCCCAACUUGGGUAUAAGCCUGGGAAACUGGGUCUAAUUCCCGAUAGGACUGCAGGGUGGUGCCUGUGGUGGAAAACGAUUUUCUAGUGGUUGGGGAUGAGCUCGCGGCCUAUCAGCUUGUUGGUGGGGUAAUGGCCUACCAAGGCGGCGACGGGUAGCCGGCCUGAGAGGGUGGACGGCCACAUUGGGACUGGGUUACCGCCCAGACUCCUACGGGAGGAAGCAGUGGGGACUAUUGCACCAUGGGCGGAAGCCUGAUGCAGCGACGCCGCGUGAGUGAUGACGGCCUUCGGGUUGUAAACUCCUUUCGACCGCGGGGAAGCCACCUGGUUGGAAGGGUGGUGACGGUAGUGGUAGAAGAAGCACCGGCUAACUACGUG